rnacentral:rRNA from 1 species
UACGUAGGGUGCGAGCGUUGUCCGGAAUUAUUGGGCGUAAAGGGCUCGUAGGCGGUCUGUUGCGUCAGGAGUGAAAACUCGGGGCUUAACCCCGAGCCUGCUUCUGAUACGGGCAGACUAGAGGUAUGCAGGGGAGAACGGAAUUCCGGGUGUAGCGGUGAAAUGAGUAGAUAUCAGGAGGAACACCCGAGGCGAAGGCGGCUCUCUGGGUCGUACCUGACGCUGAGGCGCGAAAGCGUGGGGAGCGAACGGG